rnacentral:tRNA from 1 species
UAGCGUCGAUGGCGGGGUUGAAGGCGCCGUUGACCUUGGCGGUCGACGGACGCGGCGGCUGGAAGGCGUGGAAUGGUCGCGCCAUCGCGACGCUGG